AUUUUGCGUUUCAUCAAAAAUCGCACAUCGCAAGAGCACCUGUUUUUUGCGAUAUUUUGCUUAAAACAUGCGAUCACACAAACCCAGUCGCAGACGGUAAAAAAAAAUUCAAUAUGGCCGACGUGUUGUUUUUUUUUAUGGAAAAUAACGCGAGAAGGACAGAGCGGGAGUUCCGGCCCCGUCUGGAGAUAGGCGGGGUUCGCGAUAUCGACUUUGUGAAUCGGUAUCGGGUAAACAGAACCACCGCACAGGAGCUAGUGGAGCUUCUGGGGCAGGAUCUUGCCAGAUCCGAACGUGGCGGAAAAACAAUUUCGCCAGAGACCAAGGUAACAUUAAUGCAAUCGACAUGAAUUUGCUAAUUUGUUACUGUAUAUUUGCUGGGAGAAAUUGACACACUAAGUACGGGGAUUACGAUCGUUAUCAAGUACAGCAGAGUGCUGUUUUCUUACAUCCGGUCUUAAUUUGUUCUCAUAUCAACAGGUCAACACGGAUACUAAAAUGACAUUGUAUGAUAAUAUAACCGUUGGAUAGGCAGGCAUAAAUAGGCAAAUCGAACAACGAUUGAGUUGUAAUUAGACUCAUUCAAAUUAUGGAUUAAUUCAAGGCUUUGUUAACCAACAAUAUGAAAUAAAUACAAUCUAGGUCACGUACAUGUACAAUCCUCGUCAGCCUAAGAUUUCUUGCGAAAGGGGCAUUCUAUUCGGAACUAGCCGACACCCAUGGCAUCAGUCGCUCGAGCGUGUCCAGAACUGUGCAUAACUUUGUGGAGUCUGUCAACAACAACCUGGACAAUAUUAGGUACAUACUUUAACUGUAAGAUAGAUUUGAUAUAAUAUUAUUGUACUUACAGUUACAAACAGACAAUCUUAAGUCUACGGUUUUUCUUUUUUUAUCUGUCACACUUUAGUGUCCAUAUUCAUUGUCAGACUUUUACCUUAUUUUUUAUUUUUUUUAUAGCAGCUCAUAAACCAAGGUCAAGAUCAGCAACUG